rnacentral:tRNA from 1 species
GAGGGUAUAGCUCAAGUGGUAGAGCACAUGCUUAGCAUGCAUGAGGUUCUGGGUUCAAUCCCCAGUACCUCCU